rnacentral:rRNA from 1 species
UGAGGGAAUAUUGGUCAAUGGGCGUAAGCCUGAACCAGCCAAGUCGCGUGAGGGAUGAAGGUUCUAUGGAUCGUAAAACCUCUUUUAUGAGGGAAUAAAGUGCGGGACGUGUCCCGUUUUGUAUGUACCUUAUGAAUAAGGAUCGGCUAACUCCGUGCC